rnacentral:rRNA from 1 species
AACGAACGCUGGCGGCAGGCUUAACACAUGCAAGUCGAGCGCCCCGCAAGGGGAGCGGCAGACGGGUGAGUAACGCGUGGGAAUCUACCCAUCUCUACGGAAUAACGCAUGGAAACGUGUGCUAAUACCGUAUACGUCCUUCGGGAGAAAGAUUUAUCGGAGAUGGAUGAGCCCGCGUUGGAUUAGCUAGUUGGUGGGGUAAAGGCCUACCAAGGCGACGAUCCAUAGCUGGUCUGAGAGGAUGAUCAGCCACACUGGGACUGAGACACGGCCCAGACUCCUACGGGAGGCAGCAGUGGGGAAGAUUGGACACUGGGCGCAAGCCUGAUCCAGCCAUGCCGCGUGAGGGAUGAAGGCGCUAGGGUUGUAAAGCUCUUUCACCGGUGAAGAUAAUGACGGUAACCGGAGAAGAAGCCCCGGCUAACUUCGUGCCAGCCGCCGCCGUAAUAC